rnacentral:tRNA from 1 species
UGGAGCCGUGCCAACAAAAUGGCAUGGUUUUGGGUACCGUAGGCCGGAGGUUCGAAUCCUCUCGCCCCGACCA